rnacentral:misc_RNA from 1 species
GAUGAAGAACGCAGCGAAAUGCGAUACUUGGUGUGAAUUGCAGAAUCCCGUGAACCAUCGAGUCUUUGAACGCAAGUUGCGCCCGAAGCCACUAGGCCGAGGGCACGCCUGCCUGGGCGUCACACGCCGUUGCCCCCCCAUCUACUCCUUCGGGAUUGCGGGGGGGCGGAUGAUGGCCUCCCGUGCGCCUAGCCGCGCGGUUGGCAUAAAUACCAAGUCCUCGGCGACGCACGCCACGACAAUCGGUGGUUGCGAAACCUCGGUUGCCCGUCGUGUGCGUUCGUCGCGCAUCGAGGGCUCGAAAAAAUGCUCGGCUCCGGCUGGGCUUUCAACGCGACCCCAGGUCAGGCGGGGUUACCCGCUGAAUUUAAGCAUAUCAAUAAACGGAGGA